rnacentral:rRNA from 1 species
GGGCCCGCACAAGCGGCGGAGCAUGUUGCUUAAUUCGAGGCAACGCGAAGAACCUUACCAGGGUUUGACAUCCUGCGAAUCUCUUGGAAACUUGAGAGUGCCUUCGGGAGCGCAGUGACAGGUGGUGCAUGGCUGUCGUCAGCUCGUGUCGUGAGAUGUUGGGUUAAGUCCCGCAACGAGCGCAACCCACGUCUUUAGUUGCCAGCAUUUAGUUGGGCACUCUAGAGAGACCGCCGGUGAUAAACCGGAGGAAGGUGUGGAUGACGUCAAGUCAUCAUGCCCCUUACAUCCUGGGCUACACACGUACUACAAUGCUACGGACAAAGGGCAGCAAGUUCGCGAGGACAAGCAAAUCCCAUAAACCGUGGCUCAGUUCAGAUCGUAGGCUGCAACUCGCCUACGUG